UACGUAGGCAGCAAACGUUGUUCGGAAUUACUGGGCGUAAAGAGUGUGUAGGCGGUUCUGUAAGUUUGGGGUGAAAUCUCCCGGCUUAACUGGGAGGGUGCGCCGAAAACUGCAAGGCUUGAGUGCUGGAGAGGAUAGCGGAAUUCCUGGUGUAGCGGUGAAAUGCGUAGAUAUCAGGAGGAACACCGGCGGUGUAGACGGCUAUCUGGACAGCAACUGACGCUGAGACACGAAAGCGUGGGGAGCAAACAGG
rnacentral:rRNA from 1 species